rnacentral:misc_RNA from 1 species
GUUCUAACGAAUGAAAUUGACUAUGUUAUUUUAGUAGCUAAAAUACUUCUAUAAAAAGAAAAGAUCGAAAUGACAGAAAGGAGAAUCUUAUAUACCUAAUACAUACAUCUAGAUACUUAUAUAGCAAAUGAUUCAUUCCAUAGUUUGAUCUAUCUUUUGAAGAUGAAUCGGACGAGAAUAAAGAGAGAGUCCCAUUUUACAUGUCAAUACCGACAACAAUGAAAUUUAUAGUAAGAGGAAAAUCCGUCGAAUUUUAAAAUCGUGAGGGUUCAAGUCCCUCUAUCCCCAAGAAAAAGCCCAUUUUAUUUCCUCGCUCUUUAUCAUUAUUGUGAUAUUUACAAAGAAUUUGAAGAUCUCAGAAAUUCAGGGGACUAGGUCCAAUUUUUUUAUAUUUUCUUUUUUAGUUCUUUUUAUUGACAUAGAUACAAAUACUCUGCUAGGAUGAUGCACAGAAAAGA